AGGAUGUGAUGUAAUGGCAGGAAGAAGGUUUGUCUUGCUCUUUGCUGGUUCCUGCUUGCUAUUUGCAGCCGCCAUGAACUUCGGCCCAGCCAUGCCUGCCUGUCUUGGAGCCAACUGAGUGUGGACAGAAACCUCCAAAAACUCCAGGGACAUAGUGGAGACUGGAAGCAGGGACCAGACUGUGGAGUACACACAGAGAGCCAAGUAUCAGACCUGGGGAGGUGUGGGAUCCUCAGGUGGCUAUCAUGCAGUGCCUGUCCUUCAGCGGAUCCUGUUUUCCCAACUGUGCUCCCCACCACCUGCUGCACUGCUCUCCGCAGAGGACCUGUGAGUGCUCAGGCUUCCCCUGUGGAAGUCUUUACAAAUCCUCACAUAUUGAAGAGAGGAGGCUGGAGAGGCUGAAGGGGAAGGUUCUAGAAUGCUGAUUUCGUCUGAGAAGAAGAGGAAAGACACAUGGAGAAGGCAGUGCCCUGCUGCAAGCUGCCCCGUGCCGUGUGGAACAGCGGCUCCCAGGCUGUGCCUGCCCCCGAGAGACCUCAUCUUAAAGAGCAGCAGAUUCUCCAUUCUGAGCACAAAGCUGAGGCAGAGGGCCUUGUCUUGUCUGUGCACAUGGCACCACCAGAUGCUGGGCACGGCAAGGGCUGAAAAACAACUCAGCCCCACAGUGCAAUCCACAGGCAUGAACUGCUAAGUGAAUCUUGCUAAGAAAAACACACCACCUGUGGUUUACCAGGUUAGAUAGGUACGGGAUGCAUCUAAGCUUCAGCAAGGAAACCCAGGCCUGUGAGCUUAGUGGAGGCUCUGGGCCAACACAUGGUGCAGCCUUGUGUCUGGGUCACACGAGGUGGGAUGCCAGGGCCGGUGUGUGGGAUGUCACCAGCCUGCUGUCUCUUGGGACCACCUGGGGAUGGGGAUGCAUCAUGAGGUCCCCAGGCCACCAACUCCAGCUCCGUCCCCUGGUAUUUAUUUAUUUAUUUAUUUAUUGUUACCCAGACUGUCCUCAAACUCACACAGGUCCUCCUGCCUAGGGCUCUCAAGCACUGGGAUCACAGGCCUGUGUCACCACACUGACCCCUGACUUUACCUCAGCUCAGUCUCCCUGCUUGACUCUGUCCACUUGAACCAGCUGCAGACCUGAGGGCAAUGUGGAGGCCUGGAGCUCGCAGUCCAGGGGAGGUCAGUGCCUGUCUCCUAGAAGCAGAAACCCAGUCGUGCGUGUUAUAGAGCAAAGUGUGGAAAGAAGACAGAUCACGAACGGACUAUGCGUUUGAGGAAACACAUCUUUCAUUUUCAUUCUUGUACUAGGUUUUGAGAAAAGUCAGGAUGGGUUGGUCCUUUUGUUUAUACCAUUAUUUCUUUCUUGAAGGAUCAUUCUGUUUUAUGUAUGUGGUCAAAAUUUAAAGACAGGUUUUCAUUUGUAAUCCUUGAGGACGUCCUGAGCUAUUUUCCUGGCCUGGUAUUAAAUCCAUCGCAGAUGGGACUUCAAAGAGUCAUUUGCUCAAAAUUUUGGAAAUAACACAGCGUGAAUUACUAUGCCAAAAAAUUCUGUUGAGCUCUGAUUCUCUUUGAAUAUUUUAUAAAUGGUUAGCACGGCUUCCUUUCCCUGCUGUGCCUCUGGACCGGUUCCCUUUAGGAAAGAAGGAAGGGGAACAGGAGCACAAAUCCUUCUGCAGCAAGGAGCAGAGUGCCCCAUACACAUGGCCUCUGUGAACAUUAGAAAAAGCCCCGGAGACUGCAGAGCCCAGGCCAGUUCUGUGAGUCACUGUAGACCCUGCGUAAAGCCCUCAAGGCCCUCCCUGGUUUCUUUGUUCUAGGGUCAUGAACUGUACAUAUUUUCCCUGGUGACUUACUCCUUUGUGUUUCCUUGAGAGCCACAAGAGUGCCUAAAUUAGCCCGGGUCCAUCCUAUCUUCCUCCUCCUCUUUCAUAAAAUAGAUACAGCCAAUUAGUUUCCAUUUUAUUAAUAAUGCUUGACACAUGUACCAUUUUCUGACCAAUUACCUUUCAUAACUUAAUUUUCAUCAGAGAUAUUUUGUUUUUUGGUUUUUCUUGAGACAGGGUCUUGCUAUGUAGUUCAGGCUGGACUUGAACUCACUAGGUACCCCAAGGAGGUCUUGAUCUCAUGGGGUCCUCCUGCCUCAGCCUCCCAAGUGCUGGGAUUACAGGCAUGCACCACCACAUCUGGCUGAAAUAUAAAGUUUUAGACUGAAAAUGUUGUAACAAAAAGCAAUGUCUUUGUAGCAUUCCUCCACCAUGAUCCUUAUCCCCAGAAGAAACAUUUAUUUGCUCCAAGUUUCUAAAUAACCUGUUCAUUCCCA